rnacentral:lncRNA from 1 species
GAACCCCUAUUUAAGGGUGUCACCUUUGGAGAUUAUACCAACAGGCCUAUCAAAUCUAAAACUAACCAUAAAGAUCAAACUCAUUAAUAAACCACUUGGGCAAAACCAAACUUAGAAAAGAGAGUAUAGACUUCAUGGUAUAGAGACUUGCAGCUGAGAUGGGUCUAUGAGUCCAAGCUUCCAAUGAAUGAACUCACAAACUUCGGUGGUGGCUGCUUUGGUGUAUAUGUCAACUAUUUGAUUUGAGUUCCUUGUGUAGCAUGGUAGAAUUGCUACUUUUUUCACCUUUGUC